rnacentral:rRNA from 1 species
AUUGAACGCUGGCGGCAUGCCUUACACAUGCAAGUCGAACGGCUGCGGACCUUCGGGUGCCGGCGAGUGGCGAACGGGUGAGUAAUAUAUCGGAACGUACCUUUCAGUGGGGGAUAACGUAGCGAAAGUUACGCUAAUACCGCAUAUUCUGUGAGCAGGAAAGCAGGGGAUCGCAAGACCUUGCGCUGAUUGAGCGGCCGAUAUCAGAUUAGCUAGUUGGUGAGGUAAAGGCUCACCAAGGCGACGAUCUGUAGCGGGUCUGAGAGGAUGAUCCGCCACACUGGAACUGAGACACGGUCCAGACUCCUACGGGAGGCAGCAGUGGGGAAUUUUGGACAAUGGGCGCAAGCCUGAUCCAGCCAUGCCGCGUGAGUGAAGAA